rnacentral:rRNA from 1 species
AACGUAGGUGGCGAGCGUUAUCCGGAUUUACUGGGCGUAAAGCGUACGCAGGCGGCUUUGCAAGACAGGUGUGAAAUCCCCGGGCCUAACCUGGGAACUGCAUUUGUGACUGCAUAGCUAGAGUUUGUCAGAGGGGGGUGGAAUUCCACGUGUAGCAGUGAAAUGCGUAGAUAUGUGGAGGAACACCGAUGGCGAAGGCAGCCCCCUGGGAUGUGACUGACGCUCAUGUACGAAAGCGUGGGGAGCAAACAGG